rnacentral:rRNA from 1 species
AGCGAGAGAUAAUCAAGUUUGAGUGAUAGAUCGAAUAUCCCCACUCCGUAGGUGAACUGCGGAGGGAUCAUUACAGAGUCAGCCAACUCCACAACCCAUGUGAACUUAUCUCUUUGUUGCCUCGGCGCAAGCUAGCGGGACCUCGCCCCCGGGCGACCGCCGGCGGACACACCAAACUCUGUUAUCUUCGUUGAUUAUCUGAGUGUCUUAUUUAAUAAGUCAAAACUUUCAACAACGGAUCUCUUGGUUCUGGCAUCGAUGAAGAACGCAGCGAAAUGCGAUAAGUAAUGUGAAUUGCAGAAUUCAGUGAAUCAUCGAAUCUUUGAACGCACAUUGCGCCCAUUAGUAUUCUAGUGGGCAUGCCUGUUCGAGCGUCAUUUCAACCCCUAAGACAGCUUACUGUUGGGAAUUACGGCCUCCGUAGCUCCUUAAAGACAUUGGCGGAGUGGCAGUGGUCCUCUGAGCGUAGUAAUUCUUUAUCUCGCUUUUGUUAGGUGCUCCCCCCCGGCCGUAAAACCCCCCCUUUUCUCUGGUUGACCUCGGAUCAGGUAGGAAACCCGCGACUGCCC